AGAUUUUAGUAUAAUUCUUUAAUUUUAAGAUACAUUUGCCCCAUAAUGUUUUUCGGAUUAAGAUGUCAAAAGAAACUUGCCAGGGCUUUCUCUUGUUUUUAUAGGUGUGAUGCCUUCUAAAAUUAGUGGUGUUUUGGAAUCAAAGAAACAUAAAUUUAUGGACCUGGACUUAUAGAAAUCUUCUAACUUGAACUGUGUAAGUCAAAGUUGUUCAAUAAUAACUUUUGGUAUCCUUUUUCUGAUGGCUUUUGAUAUGGAUUUUGUGUCUCUUGGCGAUCUUGACUGGCUUUGAUUUCUUGGGUGGUCCGGGGAAUACUAAACUAAUGACAUGGGUAGAUGGAUAGGUCAUUCUCACUGACAUGAGUGGUGACUUCACCUGAAGACACAUGAUAUCUUUUGUCCCUAGCUGUCCUAAAUUCCUGCUGGGGCUAAAUAAAGAGUAAAGCCUUCUUUUGGUGCCUGUGAGCCCUGGAAAUUGAUGUUGAUGUAAUUCUUCCCAGGUGAGGCAGGGCCAGGCCCUCCGGGAGGCAGCAGAGGAAGGAAGUUGCCUAGAACAUCUAAAUGCUAGAAGCACAGCCUGGAGAAGGGGUCCUUGACUAGAAUGGUGAAAUAUGCUUAAUACUGAACCAAGAAAAAGGGAAAGUGGCUGUGAGAAAAAAAGGGGAGUAGAAUAUGACAAGUUGCAGCCCUUGGGAAUUAAGUGUAUGUUUGUAUAUGAAAAUUGGAGAUGACAUGGAAGCAUGCAGCUAAUGUUCUCAAUUACACCGAACAUUUCUACACUGAUAUAAGAAAAACAGUACAGAAAAAGAUUUGGGGGAAAGAUUAGAUUCACCGUGUAAAAACAGAAUUCAUGGCUUAAUGUUGCUGGCUAGGACAUUAAUUUGAAAAUAUCUGUACUCAAAAGAAUUUUUGUAUUGGCUUUAUCUAUAAGCCCAAGCAGAGGUGAAAAUGAAUAUAAAUUAGAGACAAAGGGAGUGAUAAAAACUACACUACUCAGAGGAAGAAAGGGCACAAUCCCAGGACAAAUAUUCUCACAGCAAUUUACAGAAACUCUAACUUGGAGGCCCAAAGUAAGGAUAGUUAUUCUGUGCAGUUACAUUGCUGCAUGUAUAAAAGGAUUCCUUAGGCAGUCCCUGUAGUGCCCUUCUAUUAUUACAUAAAACGUAAACAGAAUACUCACUCCAUCUUUUGGGGUGGGUGAACUCCUAGCACCAAUGAUUGUACCACAUGAUCAGGCUCUAUGGCCAUAGCUGUCUGGGCCAGGGGUGUACAAGUUUUCAAGUGGACCAAUCUUAUGCUGAGAAGGAGAAGCUAGUUUAGCCCUGACUAUUUUCUUGAAUGAUAGGACAUGGACCUGGAAGCUAGAUUGUACCUAUCUUAGCCUCUGAGGCAGAGAAAGAAGAAUGAAACCAACUCCCCCAAAGGAGUGGAGGCAAAGGACCUGGAGAGAUGGAGACAACAAGGGUACAAAAGUCCUGGUAGUUUUGGUUUUUGUUCUUUUGUUUUGUUUUGUUUUGUUUUUUUUUUGCUUUUUAGAGCUUCACCAUGGCAUAUGGAGGUUCCCAGGCUAGGAGCUGAAUCGGAGCUGUAGCUGUCAGCCUACACCACAGCCACAGGAACACCAGAUCCAAGCCGCAUCUGCAACCUACACCACAGCUCACAGCAAUGCCGGAUCCUUAACCCACUGAGCGAGGCCAAGGAUUGAACCCGCAACCUCAUGGUUCCUGGUCGGAUUCGUUUCCACCGCACCAUGACGGGUAAAUCUUGGCUCCAGUUCUUCCUACAUGGCCUACCUCUGGACCCUGUUAAAUGGCCUUCUGGUACAAUGAAUGUAGUUCCCUCCAUUUACUUCUGCUAGCUUAAACUUUAUAACUUGACAUUUAGAGUCUUAACCAAGAUAGGCCCAUAGAUUUAAUAUAACUUAAUAUACUUCAUAUUCCUCUUAUCUAACUGUGAACCUCAUGGUUCCCUGUAUCCCCUCCAGUACAAAGCAGGCCAGAGCAAUGAAGGAACAGGAGACAUAAUGUUGAUAUAAAGGUGGGUCUGGUUGUAGAGAAAAAAACCAACUUUUAACAUAAGAGAAAACAAAUACAACCUCUUUAAUCCCUGCUAGCUCUAUUAGUCCAGGCUUAGAGCACAUGGCAAGUACUUCUAAAUACUGCACAUGGCAAGUAAACUGAAUUUAAGUAUAUGGACUAGGGAGUUCCUGUGUGGCUCAGCAGGUUAAGAAGCCAACAUAGUAUCCAUGAGGAUGCAGGUUCAAUCCCUGGCCUCACUCAGUGGAUUAAGGAUCCAAUGUGGCUGUGGCUGUGACAUAGGCUUGCAGCUGCAGCUCCAAUUCAGCCUUUAACCUGGGAACUUCCAUAUACUGCCGGUGUGGACUGAAAGAAGAAAGAAGAAAUAGAAAAGAAAAGUAUAUUGACUAGAGUUAAUGUCUCAAACUAAUGUUUAGCACUAAGCAUCAUACUUCAUGGGGUAACAGUAGAGGCACUCCUACAGUGAAUGAGGAAUGAGAAAAGAAUAGAUGUUAUUCCUGUUUUUAUUUAAUGUUCUUCCAGAAAUUCUAGCCAGUACACUAAGCAAGAAAAAGAUAUGAAAUAAAAUGCUAUAUAAAGUUCUGGGAAGACAGAAUAGAUGUACUUUUCCUUAUUCCUCCAGCAAAGUACAACUAAAAACCCCUGACAUUUUAUGUACAUAAUGAACAUAAGACUCUGAAAAAUGGAGGAAAAAAAGGCAAACUAGCUAGAGAGGUUGGGGACCACUAUCAAGGGAACAAUACGGUAGUGAGUUCCCCAGAUUUUCUUUUUGCCUGAAAUAGUCCAUACUUGUAGCUAAUGAGGCUAUAACCUAGAAACAUGAAAUAGCACAGAACCAAAAAAAAAAAAAACCCACAAGCAACAAACAAAACAAGAACUCUGCUCUUUCUAACCAAAGGACCAGGAAAGAGACUAGUAAGACAGAAAACUUUUAGACAAUAACUACUCUACUCCAGCCAAGUACUACAGAAAAACUGUAGCCCCAGUUUGCAAAGGGCAAGUAGGAAGCCUGGAUUUCCACCCUUACCAGGCUGUAAUGAGGUACACCAAACCCCCUGAGAAGGUGGUGUCAUAGAAGGCUGGGUAUGGAGCUGGGAGUUCCGUCUCCAACCUGUAGUAACAAGGUGCCUCCUCACAACAUAAUACCUAAAAUGUCCAAGUUCCAAUCAAAAAUCAUUCAUCAUACCAAGAACCUGGAAAAUUGAAUUUAAAAAGACCAUCAAUAAAUGCCUACACCAAAAUAGCAGAGAUGGAGAGCUCCCAUUGUGGCACAGCAUAAACGAAUCUGACUAGUAUCCACGAGGAUGCAGAUUCGAUCCCUGGCUUCACUCAGUGGGUUGGGGAUCCAGCAUUGCCGUGAGCUGUGGUGUAGGUCGCAGACAUGGCUCAGAUCCAGCGUUGCUAUGGCUGUGGCCAGCAGCGAUUUGGCCCCUAGCCUGGGAACUUCCAUAUGCCACAGGUACAACCCUAAAAAUCAAAAAAAAAAAGCACACACACAAAAAAAGAAAGCUCUUGUGUAUUUGGAAGGCGAGAUGUAUAGACACACAAAAUAAUGAAAAAUGUACCUAUUUUGCAUUAAGCAUAUAAUAUAAUCACUGUGUGCUUUCUCUAAACAGAUCUAAAGGUGACCAUCACAAAGUUGUCUUUUAUGUAGUAAAUACUUAAUAUUUAUCCAACAACAAAUAAAUAAAAUUCUCAAGACAAAAAAAAAAAAAGCACAGAUGUUAGAAUUAUCUGAUAAAUAUUUCCAAGCAGCCAUUAUAAAGUGUUUAAACAAGCAAUUAUGAACAAGUCUGAAACAAGUGAAAAAUUAAAAAUCUCAGCAAAUAAUAAAAGAUAUAAAGAACAGGCAAAUGUAAAUUUCAGAACUAAAAAAUACAACAAAUGAGAAAAAUUUUUAACUCAUUGAAUAAGAUCAAGAUGGAGAGGGCAGAGAAAGAACGACAGAGGAAAGAAUCAGUAAACUUGACAUUUGAACAAUAGAAAUUACCCGAUCUGAACGACAGAAAGAAAACAGACUUUUAUAAAAAUGAACAUAGCCUCAGGAGCCUGUGUAACCAAAGCAAAAGAUUCAACACUCAUGUCAUCAGAAUCCCAGGAAAGGAGAAAGAGGGUGAAUCCAAAAGCAGUCAAGGAUAUAUGUUUAAAACCUCCAAAUUUGGCAAAGGAGCCUAUCUACUGAAGAAGCUGAAAAAUUCCUAAAUAGGAUAAAUCCAAAUAAAUCUACACCAAGACAUUCAUUGUCAAAAAUUUUUUUCAUAGUCAAAUUUCUUAAAGCUAAAGGCAAGGAAUAUGUCUUCAAAGCAGUGAGAGAAAAACAAUGCCUUACUUAACAGGCAAAGAACAAUUUGAAUUCCUGCAGAUUUCUCAUCAGAAACUACAGAGGCCAGAAGGAAGUGGCACAAUUUUCAAACAGUAAAAGAAAAGGACUGUCAACCCAGAAUCCUAUAUCCAGUGAAAAUAUCCAUUAGGACUAAAGUAGAAAUCAGGAGAUCUUCAGAUGAAAGAGACCAAAAGAAUUUGUUGCCGUAAGACUACCUGAAAAGAAGGGCUAAAGGAAGUUCUUGAAACAGAAAUGAAACCAUAAAAGAAAAAUUCUGGAACACCAGAAAAGAAGAAAGAACAACAAAAAGAAUACAAAUAUAGUUAAAUAUAUUUUCCUUUAUCUCUUAGGUUUUCUAAAUUCUGUUCAACGGUUAAAGGAAUUACAACACUGUCUAAUGUGGUUCUAAAUGUAUAUACAAGAAAUGCUUAAGACAAUUAUAAAUGGCAAGAGGUAAAGGGACCUAAAGGGAAGGAGAGAAAUAAAAAACAGAAAGUAAACAGAAAACAAAAAAUAAAAUAGCAGAAUAUGCACACUGAGGUAUAUGGAAUGAUUGGUUAACAGGGACCUGAUGUAUAGCACAGAGAACUCUACCCAAUAUUCUUGGAUAAUCUCUGUGGGAAAAGAAUCAGCUAUACUUUGCAACAUGAAUAACUGAAUCACUUUGUUGUACAGCAGAAAUUAUCACAAUAUUUGUAAGUCAACUAUACUUCAAUAAAACUUUAAAAAAUGAAAAUAAAAUAAAAUAAAGAAAUAAAAUAAAAUAGCAGACUUAAGCCCUAAUACAGUUGACUCUUGAACUACAUGGGUUUGAACUGUGCAGGGCUACUUACACAUGGAUUUUUUUUUUUUCAAUAGUAAAUACUACAGUACUAUACCAUUCAUGUUGGUUGAAUGUGCAGAUGCAGAACUCUAUAAACAGAAAACUGCAAAUACAGAGGGCCAACUUUAAGUUAUAUGUGGAUUUUCAACUGUGUGGAGGGUCGACACCCCAACCCUCAUGUUGUCCGAGGGUCAACUGUAUAUCAAUAAAUACAUUAUUAUUAUUUUUGUCUUUUUGCCAUUUCUUGGACUGCUCCCGCGGCAUAUGGAGGUUCCCAGGCUAGGGGUCAGAUCAGAGCUGUAGCUGCUGACCUCCACCAGAGUCACAGCAAGAUCUGAGCCACUUCUGUGACCUACACCACAGUUCAUGGCAACGCCAGAUCCUUAACCCACUGAGCAGGACAGGGAUUGAACCCGCAGCCUCAUGGUUCCUAGUUGGAUUCGUUAACCGCUGAGCCACAACAGGAACUCCUAUCAAUAAGUACAUUUAAUGUAAAUAGUCUAAAUAUACCAAUUAAAAGACAGACAUUGUUACAGUGGGUUGAAAAAGAUGACCCAUCUAAUCACUAUAUUAUACACCUGUUACAUAAUGUACAUUAACUAUACUCAAAUAAAUUUAUAAGAAAGAUGACCCAACUAUAUAUGCUGUUGGAAACUUACUUCAAACAUAACAAUUGUCUUAGUUCAUUUGGGCUAAUAUAACAAAAUACCAAAGAUGAGGUGGCCUAUAAACAACAAAUAUUUUUUUCUUGCAGUUCUGAAGGCUGGAAAGUCCAAGAUCAAGGCAUCAGACAUUUGGUGUCUGGUGAGAGUCCACUUCCACGUUCAUAGACAGACAUUCACU
rnacentral:lncRNA from 1 species